AAGGCAUUGCUGCUCACAUCCACGACCCACUCCACUCUCGAGGAUCUGCACUUUCUUUUUAAUGAGGCAAUGAGGCUGUGGGAAUCUCAGGCAUGAAACAUUUGUGGGAUAAUGGGCUGAAUGUUGAUGGGUCCUCAGGAGACUAAGGCCCAGGAGAGCCUUGGAGUAUGUGUAUGGAUUUGUCUACAAGACCACACACAGCAUCAGCAGCCCUACUCUGCACAUCUCCAGUCCUGUCCAGUCAGGUCCUCCCCAGUUGACUCAGAACUUUCCAUGCUUUUCAGAGGUAUUUGCAGUCCAUUCUGCAGCCUAGCCCUCAUUUGUCCUUUCUCAUUUGUACCCAAAUUGUC
rnacentral:lncRNA from 1 species